rnacentral:rRNA from 1 species
UCCUACGGGAGGCAGCAGUGGGGAAUUUUCCGCAAUGGGCGAAAGCCUGACGGAGUGACGCCGCGUGUGGGACGAAGGUCUUCGGGUCGUAAACCACUUUCAGCAGGGACGAAAUUGACGGUACCUGCAGAAGAAGCCCCGGCCAACUACGUGCCAGCAGCCGCGGUA